CACCAUGCUUCUCUUCACCUGCUAGUAUCUUGUCUGCUUUUUGAUAAGCAAAUGUUGCUAUCUUCUAAUUCUGAACACAUCAGAAAUCACCAACCCCUCCUGAUAUAUCUUUCCAGUUUGGGCAAAAAAUGAAUGUAUAUGCCAAAGUAGAAUUCAUCAACUUUAGCCGUGAUCUCUGUGAUCAGCUCAUCAUCUCUCCAUACCCUCUCCACAUGGAUGUCACCUCUUGUACUUGUCACAAGAUCACACCAGGUUAACUAAGCCAG